rnacentral:rRNA from 1 species
GACGUAGGGCGCGAGCGUUGUCCGGAUUUAUUGGGCGUAAAGAGCUCGUAGGCGGCUUGUCGCGUCGUCCGUGAAAACCUGCGGCUCAACUGCAGGCUGGCGGUCGAUACGGGCAGGCUGGAGUUCGGUAGGGGAGACUGGAAUUCCUGGUGUAGCGGUGAAAUGCGUUGAUAUCCUGAGGAACACCGGUGGCGAAAGCGGCUCACUGGAUCUUUUCUGACGCUGAGGCACGAAAGCUAGGGUAGCGAACGGG